AUGAUGAUGAUUUGAUUGAUGAACCAGUAGAAAAUUUUUUCUACUAUUCAUCCCUACUCUGGCCAGAGAUUCUCUGAAUCAUCAUUCUAUGAUAUCACAUAGGAUGUUCUUUCCUCUUACAAGGAGUGACCAAUUCUUUGUUGACCAUUUACAACCUCCAUGCAUACUUCACCAUACCUAGAACAUCUCAUACAUAUUCAAAAAGUCAUGCUAAAGUAUGAACCAAAGCAUGCAUCUACA
rnacentral:lncRNA from 1 species